GAUAUUGUUGCCCUAAUCCUCUCUAUAAAGGCCCUCUUUCCAAUCAUCGGGGACAAAGAAAAAAGGGUGAAAAAACACAAAUGGCUGAAAUCAGCUCUUUUCCAAAAAAUUCUGAAGAAAUUUUUUGAGUUCUGCCUGUUUUGUGGAGUCAUUUGCUGGAGUUAUUCUAACGCUGAAACAAAAUUUUGGUUUUGUGGAUUCACUGAUGUUCGAUUUGACCUGUGCUGCUGUAGACUUCUUUCUUUCUUUGAUCUGGUUGUUCCAUUUUCUUUUCUAGAUGCUAAGGAUGUGGUGUCAUGGUUAAUAAAUAGCCAUUGGAACCAGUUGAAGUCCAUUUGGUAUAAGUUCAAAUACAAAAGUUGGCAUCUUGAGUUGGUAAUUGCAUAGAUGGCAGUGUUCUUCGCAUCAUCAGUUAGUUUCAAUUUAUUAGGGCAUGUAAAUUUAUAAUUCCCCUUUGAUUCAACCUUCAUUAAGUCAUGGCAGUGUUGCAUAAUUUUGGUUCAAAUUGGGAUAUAAUUCAUGUAUUAUGGAAGUUUGGGUAAUUUGAAGUUUCGGAACUGUUUCCUUUUGAAGCAAAAAUUGAUAAUUUUCCAUUGUUUAAUUCUUA